GAUCUGAUAGUGUAAUGGUUAACACGCCUGCUUAAUUUAUCCAUCGUACAAAGCAUCAUUCAGCAGGAGGUCUCGGUUCGAUUCCGGGUCAGGUCA